UACCAGCACCCCGAGUGGUCGGGACGAUUAUUGGGCCUAAAGCAUCCGUAGCCAGUCCUACAAGUCUUCCGUUAAAUCCACCUGCUUAACAGAUGGGCUGCGGAAGAUACUAUAGGGCUAGGAGGCGGGAGAGGCAAGCGGUACUCAGUGGGUAGGGGUAAAAUCCUCUGAUCCAUUGAAGACCACCAGUGGCGAAGGCGGCUUGCCAGAACGCGCUCGACGGUGAGGGAUGAAAGCUGGGGGAGCAAACCGG
rnacentral:rRNA from 1 species